rnacentral:rRNA from 1 species
AGUGAACGCUAGCGGUAGGCCUAACACAUGCAAGUCGAACGGCAGCACAGUAAGAGCUUGCUCUUACGGGUGGCGAGUGGCGGACGGGUGAGGAAUACAUCGGAAUCUACUUUUUCGUGGGGGAUAACGUAGGGAAACUUACGCUAAUACCGCAUACGACCUACGGGUGAAAGCAGGGGAUCUUCGGACCUUGCGCGAUUGAAUGAGCCGAUGUCGGAUUAGCUAGUUGGCGGGGUAAAGGCCCACCAAGGCGACGAUCCGUAGCUGGUCUGAGAGGAGGAUCAGCCACACUGGAACUGAGACACGGUCCAGACUCCUACGGGAGGCAGCAGUGGGGAAUAUUGGACAAUGGGCGCAAGCCUGAUCCAGCCAUACCGCGUGGGUGAAGAAGGCCUUCGGGUUGUAAAGCCCUUUUGUUGGGAAAGAAAAGCAGCAGGUUAAUACCCCGCUGUUCUGACGGUACCCAAAGAAUAAGCACCGGCUAACUUCGUG